rnacentral:rRNA from 1 species
GCGGCAUCGGAAUGGUCUAGCAUGCGAGUCAUUGUAGCAAUACAAGGCAGACGGCUCAGUAACGCGUAGUCAAUCUACCCUAUGGACGAGGAUAACCUCGGGAAACUGAGAAUAAUACUCGAUAGAACACUAUGCCUGGAAUGGUUUGUGUUUGAAAUGAUUUAUCGCCGUAGGAUGGGACUGCGGCCUAUCAGUUUGUUGGUGAGGUAAUGGCCCACCAAGACUAUUACAGGUACGGGCUCUGAGAGGAGUGGCCCGGAGAUGGGUACUGAGACACGGACCCAGGCCCUAUGGGGCGCAGCAGGCGAGAAAACUUUGCAAUGUGCGAAAGCACGACAAGGUUAAUCCGAGUGGUUUCUGCUAAAGAAACCUUUUGUUAGUCCUAGAAACACUGAUGAAUAAGGGGUGGGCAAGUUCUGGUGUCAGCCGCCGCGGUAAAACCAGCACCUCAAGUGGUCAGGAUGAUUAUUGGGCCUAAAGCAUCCGUAGCCGGCUAUGUAAGUUUUCGGUUAAAUCUGUGCGCUUAACGUACAGGCUGCCGGGAAUACUGCAUAGCUAGGAAGUGGGAGAGGUAGACGGUACUCGGUAGGAAGGGGUAAAAUCCUUUGAUCUAUUGAUGACCACCUGUGGCGAAGGCGGUCUACCAGAACACGUUCGACGGUGAGGGAUGAAAGCUGAGGGAGCAAACCGGAUUAGAUACCCGGGUAGUCCCAGCCGUAAACUAUGCAAACUCAGUGAUGCAUUGGCUUGUGGCCAAUGCAGUGCUGCAGGGAAGCCGUUAAGUUUGCCGCCUGGGAAGUACGUACGCAAGUAUGAAACUUAAAGGAAUUGGCGGGGGAGCACCACAAGGGGUGAAGCCUGCGGUUCAAUUGGAGUCAACGCCGGG